UACAUAGGGUGCAAGCGUUGCUCGGAAUUAUUGGGCGUAAAGAGCGUGUAGGCGGCCAGGUAGGUCUGCUGUGAAAACUCGAGGCUUAACCUCGAGCUGUCGGCGGAAACCAUCUGGCUAGAGUCCGGAAGAGGAGAAUGGAAUUCCCGGUGUAGCGGUGAAAUGCGCAGAUAUCGGGAAGAACACCCGUGGCGAAGGCGGUUCUCUGGGACGGUACUGACGCUGAGACGCGAAAGCGUGGGGAGCGAACAGG
rnacentral:rRNA from 1 species